AUUGAACGCUGGCGGCAGGCCUAACACAUGCAAGUCGAGCGGAGCGGCGGACGGGUGAGUAAUGCCUAGGAAUCUGCCUGGUAGUGAGGGAGAACUGCCGGAAACGGACGCUAAUACAGCACACUAGCAGAUGAGCCUAGGUGGGAUUGGCUAGUUGGUGGGGUAAAGGCAUACCAAGGCGACGAUCCGUAACUGGUCUGAGCGGAUGAUCAGUCACACUGGAACUGAGACACGGUCCAGACUCCUACGGGAGGCAGCAGUGGGGAAUAUUGGACAAUGGGCGAAAGCCUGAUCCAGCCAUGCCGCGUGUGUGAAGAAGGUCUUCGGAUUGUAAAGCACUUUAAGUUGGGAGGCGUUACCGACAGAAUAAGCACCGGCUAACUUCGUGCCAGCAGCCGCGGUAAUAC
rnacentral:rRNA from 1 species